CCUUCGGGGGAGCUCUGAGACAGGGGGUGCAUGGUUGUCGUCAGCUCGUGUCGUGAGAUGUUGGGUUAAGUCCCGCAACGAGCGCAACCCCUGUUGUUAGUUGCUACCAUUAAGUUGAGCACUCUAACGAGACUGCCGAGGUUAACUCGGAGGAAGGUGGGGAUGACGUCAAAUCAUCAUGCCCCUUAUGCCUUGGGCUACACACGUGCUACAAUGGCCGGUACAAAAUGAACCAAGACCGCAAGGUGGAGCAAAUCACAAAAACCGGUCCCAGUUCGGAUUGUAGGCUGCAACUCGCCUACAUGAAGCUGGAGUUGCUAGUAAUCGCGAAUCAGCAUGUCGCGGUGAAUGCGUUCCCGGGCCUUG
rnacentral:rRNA from 1 species